AUCAGAGAGAGCACUACACUGGUCAAUUACAGGCUACUCCCAGAGUACAUGUAGAUGUUUCCCCACCAACUUUACAAGGAACCUGGUGGCAGCUGGGUUUCACAGAAUUAAUGUCUGUAGAAGAAGCCAGAGACAUAAGGUCAUAAAGACCUGGAAGGACCCAACUGGAGAAGUCUGUCACCAUUGUCUACUGGGAGAUUUCAUCUAAAUAAACGUGUUCCAGAGGAAAGGUGUGCUCUCCCCACGCUGCGCAGGACCCUUCUGAGUGCUGGUGAUCAUUGAGAAAGCUAAAACGAAAUGAAUACCCAGCUGGAUUCAUGCUUCCCACAUGAAUCCAGCACAUUAGGAGGACUUGGCUGUGGCUUCCACAAAGUACUUGAAACCUGGUGCUGAACUCAACUGAAAGGAGUAUUCUAAAGAACUUACUACAGUUCUCAUAUUUUACCUUGCUCUGCUAUUCACACUGAUGGCUACUUCAAUUACUUUAAGGAUAUUUUAGUAGGAAAAAAAUGUCUAACUUGUUACACUACUUUUUCUUCUUGUACUCCCAAGUAAUGAUUCCUAUAUGUAUUGAAGGGAAGAACUGGGUACCGAGACUGCGACUAUACCAGAAAAGAUAGAGAGAUGCUGUUGCAUAGAAAAAACUUCAAAUUAGUAAACAAACAAAUGUGGAAUUUAUAGACUAAGGCUGCAAAAGACAAAUCUACUGUCACUCAAGUCACUUUGGGAUCUAAGUUCUCUCCAGUAAAAGGAUAGGUAGAUAAACAAAGGUGGUUUCCUAUUAUUCAUAGAGUCAUAAUUAUCUAUUAUUAUAAUAUAGCUAUUGAUUUUGACCAAUGUGAAAAAUGGCCCAUAGGGUGUGUUUGUCCUAAUGACUUCAAGUCAUUAGAGCCAUGUAUCUUAAACACUAGAAUUGCAAUCUGUUCACUUCAACAAUUGCCUCAUAUUAAGACUUUAAGACUGGAUAAUGGCUGUGCGUGUCUUUGUGUUUCACAUCUGGCAAAAGCUAUUUGGGAAGAGAGAAAAAUUACCGAAGUACCUAGAUUAGUGUGUAAAUGUAAUAUUACUUAUGUGAUUGAUGAAAACUCAUGAGAAAAUUUA
ensembl:lncRNA